GAGCCGGAGGGCGCCGGCGCCCGGCGCGCUCCCCACCUACUGGCCCUGGCUGUGCGCGGCCGCGCAGGUGGCGGCGCUGGCGGCCUGGCUGCUCGGCAGGCGGAACUUGUAGGAACGCGGGGCUUCUUGGUGGGGCCGGAGCCGAGACCCAGCCGGAGCAAGCAACAGGAGACUGGAUAAGCGCUCCCCUCCUGGGACCAGGCGUGCGGGAUGUCGGGUGCACCCGCGGGAGGCGGAGGACUCCGGGCAGGAGCCUGACUGUGUUCCCGUUUACCGGUUGGUGAAAACCCUGUGUCCUUGGAGAAAGCUGGUUCCCGUUUUCCAGAGGGGGAGCCCAGAGCUUGAAAGGCCACGGUUGGCACUUCGAGAAGGAAGUGGAGAGUAAAGACAGCGCCUGGAGCGAUCGUAGAAACACAGAAUGGGACUGGGGAAGCCCUUUGGAAAUCCAGCUGCAGAAACAGACACCCCAAUGCUAUUUACAUACAGCUCUCUCUCUAUAUAUAUAAUAUGAAUAUUACGUAUCAGUGCAUGCCUUGUCGAGGACGUGGUUGCCUUCCUUUUCUGCACCUUGCGAUGUGAACUUUGAUAUUCUGUAAUGUCUGGGGCGCCAGAAGAGAGAUGCCUGCUGUGUACUUAGAAACUGUUUGCAAAGACUGGUGGGAAUUAGCCCUAGCAUCGGCCAACUGCCUGGGGAUAGAUGCUGGUGGAAUAAGAGGUAACAGUGCAAAAGGCAUGAUAGGAAAGAAAAAAAGAGGAUACCACACACUGCCAUUUUCAAAGCCGAGGUGGCGAGGUAUCAGGCUGCAGAUUCGGACAGUCAUUCUCCAAGGCUCGAUUUGCAAGUCACCACCUGGUACCUAUAGACAGAGGGUCCAGCAGGCUGGUUAACAGACACCGCUCCAGUUCUAAGAAGCCAGCAGUGGGAUCCACGUUUGUUAAGGUGGAUGCGGCUGAAAUGGGAAUUAUCCCCCCAUAGGCUUUGCUGUAAAUGACCAGGUCCUUUAGAAUGUACAACCUCUCAGUGCUGCUGCAAGCUGGGAGCUGGAUUUCUUUCUGUCUUCUUUUUAAAAUCCAUUCCUUGUGUUUUCCUAAAUAGCCCUUUAAAGAGAAAUGUAACCCCAGGGCUGCUGAAUGUGAGGGAAGGCUCCCCCACCCCGCAGCUUUGAACUCAGCAAGGCAAAAAACAAAAAAACAAAAAAACAAAAAAAAAAACAAAAAAAACAACGCUUAUUUUGGGGAACCUGCUUCUCCUCAUUACUCAUGCCCUCCCCCUAGUUGAUGUUUGCAGGGGACCCUCGCUUAGCUGGGGGUUGCAGAGAGCAGCAGGCGAUAUUCCCACCAAGCCACGAACUUGGAGAAGGCAAAUUCAUCAGAAUAAUAUGAAAUACAGUCUCUGCUUCUAUUUAAUCACUUUCUUAGUCACAGACUAGGGUCUUUCCAGCUCACCCCGUUUUCUGGGGAGAGGCUUCCAUUACUACACAGUUGUACCCAAUCACAGUUCUCUGCUUCUUUAAGGCUGUACCUUCAAGGUCGUAGUGGGGGCGUGCUGACCACAUAGACACAGGAGAAGAUGAAAGGUGAGAGGAUCCCUUUUUCAACCCCGACUUGCCUGCUGGCUUUUGAUGUUUCCCCUGGAGGAUCCAAACUCCAAACGCUGGGGUUGGCAUCUUGGGUGAUUUUGAUUUCAAUGAAGCCACUUUGCUGAGAGAACUGGGGCACCCAUGACCUCCUGGUAGAGCUUCCCAGCCAAGUCCCUUGUAGAUAUUCUCCUGUUUUAUUAGAGACCAUGUAUUUAUCAAAUCCUAGCCUUUUCUUGCACAUCAUUCAUUGUAGUGCACUUCUCGACUGCCCCGAUUUUGACAAGGGGUUGUUUUAAUGCUUGUUUUAUAUGAGAUUUGACUUCUUGAUGGACAUUUGUAUUAGGAAAUUGAAGCAUGAUAUAUAUGUAUAUAUUGUCUCCACCAUCUCUCCUGUUGUAUUGCUUGGAUUGCAUGAGAUAGUGGGGUGGUUCUUGUUUUUUAAAAAAUAUUUCCACAGUGUGCAAAGUGCUGGCAACAUCCCUCCCUCUCCUCCACCCCCCCACUUUUCUCUGGCUGCCAAGGAGUCAUUGAUUUUGAUUAGCUUCACUGCAGAGCGUCUGUGAAGAGAGAGAGAGAAAGGGAGGGAGGCUUUGAAAUGAAUUUUAAAAAAGACCUCAUAUCGGGUUUCAGCAGACAGCAGUGUGUGUGUGUGUGUGUGUGUGUGUGUGUGUGUGUGUGUGACCGUACAAGCAGAGGGAGGCCUCUGAGAUCAUCGUUUAGGUAACUUGCUGCAUAAUGAGAUGAAGAGACUUUGCCUCUUCAUUUCUGAUGGUGCUGCUUGCUCUCAGAGAGUGGGGAGCCAGGAACCUCAGGGACUGGAGCCCCCAGGACUUCAACACUCCGAAUGAGAUCCAGUCCUUUCUGGAAGUUUCUCACCCCUACGUGAUACCCCACAAACAAAUACAAUCUCUUCAAAUUUGGGGGUCCGUUUCCUAUUGUCUUUGUUAUUGGUGUAGCUUGAGUAGGAAGUUUCUCUGGGGAGCCCAUUAGCCCCACUGGCUGCUGUCCGUGGUCCUAGGCCGUGCGCAUCUCCUAGAGCCCAGUUCCUGUUUUUUGUUUGUUUUGUUUUGUUUGUGGUUUUAUUUUGGCCGUGCACAUCUCUUAGAGCCUAGUUCCUGUUUUUUGUUUGUUUGUUUGUUUUUAUGUUUUUAGCUGCCUUCAUUUGGGUACUGGGGACUUCUUUUCCACUUCUUCUUUAUUUUGAGACAGAGUCUCGCUCUGUCGCCCAGGCUGGAGUGCAGUGGUGCGAGCUUGGCUCACUGCAACCUCCACCUCCCAGGUUCAAGCGAUUCUCCUGCCUCAGCCUCGCGAGCAGCUGGGAUUACAGGCACAUGCCACCAUGCUCAGCUAAUUUUUGUAUUUUUAAUAGAGACGGGGUUUUACCAUGUUGGCCAGACUGGUUUUGAACUCCUGGCCUCAAGUGAUCCACCCGCCUUGGCCUCCCAAAGUGCUGGGAUUACAGGUGUGAGGCACUGUGCUCAGCCUCCACUUCUUAUUUUGAUUCUUUUCUGUUUUGAUGAUGAGAGGAAAGAGUGAUUUAAACAAUACCGUCACAGAAAAAUGAAACUGUGCCUGGUUUUCACAAUGUAUGUAGCUGAUCUCAUGUUCUCCUAUUAUUAUGUUUCUGACAGUGAUAAAAUACCACUCUCCCUCUGUGGGGCAUUAGGGGAGUCCUCACCCACCCAUCUCCUACGCAAGUAUCUUUUAGGGACACCGGUUCACCAUUGUGGACUUUUUGAGUGUCCACCUGAUAUUACAAGUUGCAUUGACCAGAACACAGAUUUUGUUCUUCUGUGUCAAUACCCGUUUCUUUUCUGAAGAUCAGAAGUUGGUUAAGGGUUUGGGGGACCGGCUAGACACUCUUCUUAUCCCAUGGAGCUGACUGGAAGUUCCAUGAGGGGAGGAAAUUGAUGUCCAAGUGUCAUUUUAAAGCUUAAGCUGAAAGUUUAUUUUUAAAAUUUUCAUUCAUUCAUUUAGCAUAUAUUUAUUGAGCAUCUACAAUGUGCCAGGUUGUAGAAUUCCAUCUCAGAAGAGACUUGACUUAUGGAUGGUGGAGGGGACAGUCCUGCUCGGAAGCAGAUGAUGUGAAAUGUCCCUUUCCAGUCACGACAUUUAACAGAUUUUUCAAGUCACCACUGUGACCCCAAGCCUUGCUGGCAGAUUGUUAUAUAGUAUUGACUGAGAGCCCCGCUAUCUGGUAAAGGCAGUUAAAAAGCCUGCAAUCUCGACUCAUUUCCAGCAUGAACAGACUGGUCCUUGCUGCUUUACACAAUAGUCAAAGCUACCUUUUAUGGCGUGCUCGCCACUCCCAAGCCCUGGGCGAAGUGCUUUACCAUCUUCCCCUCCGCGAUGCCUCAUGCCCACUUUAGCAGAUAGUACUGUUAUCAUUUCCAUUUUACAGUGGAGGAAGCUGAGGCUCAGAGAGGUUGAGCAACUUAGCUGAAGUCCACACCACCAGCGAAGUGCCUGAGCCAUGAUUUAGACUGGAGUCCAUGGGACCCCCACGCUCACGAGCUGACUGCUCUGCUCCACUAGUUCCCUUCAUGAGGUCACCCACAGCACUGCUAGUUCCAGGGCGAGUGCCAGCACAUGGCCCCGCUGGGAGCCGGGGGCCUGACUUAGGUCCACUGGAAAAAGUGUCACCUUUCGGGACACUCAAGGACAGGCUGGUUGGAUUCGUUGUGGAUUUUAUAUACUCAUGCUCUCCCCGUGUUCCUGGUUUCUAUAAGGUCCCAGGGAAGGUGCAUGGAAUUUGAAAAUAGGGCCUGUAUGACUUAUUUCCUAGGACACAGGAAGCUUUUCUUACCUCCUUCCUACCCUCUUCUCCAACCUGAACUCCCAAGUUCCUUCUCCCGAAGGUCUUUUGCACUAUAAGCGCCAAGGAAGCUGUGCGCGUGGCAGGGACGGCUGGGAGGGUAUCUGGAGAACCUUAGUGAGGCCUCUGGCCUAGCCAGAGAGGCAAUAAGCUUGGGGAUGUUCCGUUCUGGGUUCUGACGUUGUUGGUUCUGACAUCGUUGUGCUCUUUUGUAAGAGGAAUUUCAUACCUUGGAGACGCUUUGUACAUAUUUGUAAUGACUUUAUUAAAAAAUUGGUUGUGCACUUCUAGCCAAAGACAUUUGUGUUUUCAUUUCCUUUUGGAAGGCUGGCCCUCAUAGACUCUGGGAGUACCCAGCCGCCUAACAGGGACAGGAUCCCUGCCCCUGGCUCCUGCAUGCCCCAGCGCUCCCUCUAGCAGAAGGCCAGCCACUUCCUUCCCUCCUCUAAUUCCUAAGAUCCACCACCCCACCGACCCCCGAAGGGAAGGACUGGCCUCAAGAAUGCCCUUGGGUUGGGCAACAGGUUUGGGAAACUUGCCCAACAGUUCAAGGUCAG
ensembl:lincRNA